CCAUGCAAGAGUCUUGGAAAACAGGUCCAGACAAAAUCCUGUCUACAGACAGACGGACAUGCUGAUUCCAAUAAACCCCCUCCCCACCCCCAACUUCGUUUGCGAGGGGUCCUGGGACACAACUUUGAAAGACAUGCGUCUUCACAGACACUGACUUUAGCCUGAAAUGUUCGACAGAUGUCAUCAUCUAUGUCGUCACAUGUAUUUUCUAGACUCCACACUACCCCCAGGGUAAAUAAUAGCACGCCUAAAAUAUACAAAAACUUCCAUUUUAAGACGCCCAAUUGCCCAAAAUUCCUCAUACAGUUAUGGUAGUAUUUCACAUUUCUUUCUUCUAUACUUCAAAGAAUUAGAUAUUAUCUUUAUAUAUUAAUGUAAUUUUAUUAAGACUUUAAUGCAAGGAGGAAAAGCUGUCAAUAAUUUGCAAAGUAUAUGUGGAUAAUAUGAAUGAUUGCAAAAAAUAUUAAAAUAAAUUUUGAAGGUUUAA